CAUGCAAGUCGAACGGGAUCCGUCCUUCGGGACGGUGAGAGUGGCGGACGGGUGAGUAACGCGUGGGAACCUGCCCAGUGGUGGGGGAUAACUGCGGGAAACUGCAGCUAAUACCGCAUGAGCCCGAGAGGGGAAAGAUUUAUUGCCAUUGGAGGGGCCCGCGUUCGAUUAGGUAGUUGGUGAGGUAAUGGCUCACCAAGCCUUCGAUCGAUAGCUGGUCUGAGAGGAUGAUCAGCCACACUGGGACUGAGAUACGGCCCAGACUCCUACGGGAGGCAGCAGUGGGGAAUUGUUCGCAAUGGGCGAAAGCCUGACGACGCAACGCCGCGUGGAGGAUGAAGAAUUUCGGUUCGUAAACUCCUGUCGAGCGGGACGAAAGAUGCGCGGGUUAAUACCCCGUGCAAGUGACGGUACCGCUAAAGGAAGCCCCGGCUAACUCCGUGCCAGCAGCCGCGGUAAUACGGGGGGGGCAAGCGUUGUUCGGAAUUACUGGGCGUAAAGGGCUCGUAGGCGGCCAACUAAGUCACACGUGAAAUCCCUCGGCUCAACCGGGGAACUGCGUGUGAGACUGGAUGGCUUGAGUUUGGGAGAGGAAUGCGGAAUUCCAGGUGUAGCGGUGAAAUGCGUAGAUAUCUGGAGGAACACCGGUGGCGAAAGCGGCAUUCUGGACCAAUACUGACGCUGA
rnacentral:rRNA from 1 species